CUUGCAAAUAAACCCAUCAAGCAGAGGCGGUACACACAAACAAAAGGUGGACUCUUUGGUUUUUUAAAACGGAGCCCGAAAGCGUAUGAGCUAUUGCGCCACAUAUUUAUUUUGCCUAGUCAACGAUCAAGAAAAUGAAGGUAUUGAGUGAAAAAACUGCCGCAAUGAUACAGCCCCAAAUUUGAUUCCGGCCCAGUGUAUAGUUUUUUUAACUAAAGUUUUUUGUUAUUUUUGCCUCAAGAAUGUACUUAUUGUGAAUUUCUUUGUUAAUGGCUGUAUAGUUUUACUUGAGUCAAAGAAAAUCGUAGUUGUUGUAUAAAAAAAUAAUUUAUAAAUCUAUUAGGGUACAUUUUA